GGCGGGGUGCUAUACAUGCAGUCGAGCGAACAGACGAGGAGCUUGCUCCUCUGACGUUAGCGGCGGACGGGUGAGUAACACGUGGAUAACCUACCUAUAAGACUGGGAUAACUUCGGGAAACCGGAGCUAAUACCGGAUAAUAUAUUGAACCGCAUGGUUCAAUAGUGAAAGACGGUUUUGCUGUCACUUAUAGAUGGAUCCGCGCCGCAUUAGCUAGUUGGUAAGGUAACGGCUUACCAAGGCAACGAUGCGUAGCCGACCUGAGAGGGUGAUCGGCCACACUGGAACUGAGACACGGUCCAGACUCCUACGGGAGGCAGCAGUAGGGAAUCUUCCGCAAUGGGCGAAAGCCUGACGGAGCAACGCCGCGUGAGUGAUGAAGGUCUUCGGAUCGUAAAACUCUGUUAUUAGGGAAGAACAAAUGUGUAAGUAACUAUGCACGUCUUGACGGUACCUAAUCAGAAAGCCACGGCUAACUACGUGCCACGGUGGGAAAAAUA
rnacentral:rRNA from 1 species